GGGUUUGGCUCAGUGGUUAGAGCGUAGGUCCCUUAACCGAAAGGUUGCGGGAUCGAAUCCCGCUAGAGGCUG
rnacentral:tRNA from 1 species